GUGGGGAAUAUUGGACAAUGGGCGAAAGCCUGAUCCAGCCAUGCCGCGUGUGUGAAGAAGGUCUUCGGAUUGUAAAGCACUUUAAGUUGGGAGGAAGGGCAGUAAGUUAAUACCUUGCUGUUUUGACGUUACCGACAGAAUAAGCACCGGCUAACUUCGUGCCAGCAGCCGCGGUAAUACGAAGGGUGCAAGCGUUAAUCGGAAUUACUGGGCGUAAAGCGCGCGUAGGUGGUUUUGUAAGUUGGAGGUGAAAUCCCCGGGCGCAACCUGGGAACUGCAUCCAAAACUGCAUGACUAGAGUACGGUAGACGGUAGUGGAAUUUCCUGUGUAGCGGUGAAAUGCGUAGAUAUAGGAAGGAACACCAGUGGCGAAGGCGACUACCUGGACUGAUACUGACACUGAGGUGCGAAAGCGUGGGGAGCAAACAGGAUUAGAAACCCGUGUAGUCC
rnacentral:rRNA from 1 species